rnacentral:rRNA from 1 species
UGGGGAAUAUUGGACAAUGGGCGAAAGCCUGAUCCAGCAAUUCCGCGUGUGUGAAGAAGGCCUUCGGGUUGUAAAGCACUUUAGUGGGGGAAGAAACAGCUUGGCCACACCAAGCCUUGACGGUACCCCAAGAAUAAGCACCGGCUAACUCUGUGCCAGCAGCCGCGGUAAUACAGAGGGUGCAAGCGUUAAUCGGAUUUACUGGGCGUAAAGGGUGCGUAGGUGGUUUUUUAAGCCGGAUGUGAAAGCCUGGGGCUCAACCUCAGAAUUGCAUUCGAUACUGGGAAACUAGAGUUCGGUAGAGGGCGGCGGAAUUUCCGGUGUAGCGGUGAAAUGCGUAGAUAUCGGAAGGAACAUCAAUGGCGAAGGCAGCCGCCUGGGCCUGGACUGACACUGAGGCACGAAAGCGUGGGUAGCAAACA